UACUUUGUCAAGAAAUUGAAGGGUUUGGG
rnacentral:piRNA from 1 species